AUUGAACGCUGGCGGCAGGCCUAACACAUGCAAGUCGAACGGUAACAGGAAGAAGCUUGCUUCUUUGCUGACGAGUGGCGGACGGGUGAGUAAUGUCUGGGAAACUGCCUGAUGGAGGGGGAUAACUACUGGAAACGGUAGCUAAUACCGCAUAACGUCGCAAGACCAAAGAGGGGGACCUUCGGGCCUCUUGCCAUCGGAUGUGCCCAGAUGGGAUUAGCUAGUAGGUGGGGUAACGGCUCACCUAGGCGACGAUCCCUAGCUGGUCUGAGAGGAUGACCAGCCACACUGGAACUGAGACACGGUCCAGACUCCUACGGGAGGCAGCAGUGGGGAAUAUUGCACAAAGGGCGCAAGCCUGAUGCAGCCAUGCCGCGUGUAUGAAGAAGGCCUUCGGGCUGUAAAGUACUUUCAGCGGGGAGGAAGGGAGUAAAGUUAAUACCUUUGCUCAUUGACGUUACCCGCAGAAGAAGCACCGGCUAACUCCGUG
rnacentral:rRNA from 1 species